GGGCCUAUAGCUCAGUUGGUUAGAGCAGGAGACUCAUAAUCUCUUGGUCCGGGGUUCGAGUCCCUGUGGGCCCACCA
rnacentral:tRNA from 3 species